rnacentral:rRNA from 1 species
CCUACGGGAGGCAGCAGUAGGGAAUCUUCCACAAUGGGCGACAGCCUGAUGGAGCAACGCCGCGUGGGUGAAGAAGGUCUUCGGCUCGUAAAACCCUGUUGUUCGAGAAGAAAGUGCGUGAGAGUAACUGUUCACGUUUCGACGGUAUCUAACCAGAAAGCCACGGCUAACUACGUGCCAGCAGCCGCGGUAAUCCGUAGGUGGCAAGCGUUAUCCGGGGUUAUUGGGCGUAAAGGGAACGCAGGCGUUCUUUUAAGUUUGAUGUGAAAGCCUUCGGCUUAACCGUAGUAGUGAAUGGGAAACUGGGAGACUUGAGUGCAUAAGAGGAGAGUGGAACUCCAUGUGUAGCGGUGAAAUGCGUAGAUAGAUGGAAGAACACCAGUGGCGAAAGCGGCUCUCUGGUCUGUAACUGACGCUGAGGUUCGAAAGCGUGGGUAGCAAACAGGAUUAGAUACCCGGGUAGUC